GGUGUUAGGAACAGACUAUAAGAAAUGGUUGUUCUGGAGAAAAAGGGUAAAACUUAUGAGGGCCCUUGUGAAUUGAUGAAUAUGAAGGCACUAAGAAAGCAGAAAUAGAACUGAGAAGAAUGAAAUAACUGUCUCUACCUUUCUCGAAUUGUCUAAUUUGGAAGGAACGAAAGACAGCUAAUAAGCAACUCUCUGCAAGAAGACAUAUGGCUUAGAAUCUACUUGGAGAAAGUCAAACACAGAAUCCCUUUGAAUUUAUUGGUCACUCCAGGUGGUUUGAACUGCCAAAUAAGAAACAGGUCCUCUUCAAUGUACAGUCUGCCAAGUAUGAGGUCUGAAUGACCAUCAUUAUUAUGUAUUUAAUGCACAUAGAAAAUCUAUCUGCAACCUUCCAGAGUGUACCAGAAGUUUGGAAUGCACAUUAUUAUUGGCUCCAUCUCAAACUAGUCAUAAAUCAAAGAAAAGAGCAGUUCCAGGGGAAACAUCAUAGAGGCUUUUAGGCCCCCACGCUGUGUGAACCUGGUGAGAAAGUGAAGUCUGCUCUCACUGGACACUGGAACUGUUCGUCUCUGUCUCUGCUGUACUGUCCCUGUCUCUACCUCACUCAAUAAGGAAAU